rnacentral:tmRNA from 1 species
GGGGGUGAAAUUGGCUUCGACGGGGUUAAUGGAGCAUCGGACUGCAUGUCGUGGUCACCGCAGAUAUGUCACGAUAAAAAGGCGGUAAAACAAUAUCUGGCGAAUCUAAUUACGCCUUAGCUGCUUAAUUAAAUAGCAGCUCGUUCUGCAGCAUCACUUCCGUCGGGUGUUGUAAGAGCGUCGUUUUGACGGAAUAGCCGAGUCGAGAUUACGGGCAGACAGAGCGAAAACACCCAACCGUAUUAACCCUGAAUAUCCUGUCUGACGGAGCUUCAGGGGGAGAAACAAUAGACAGACUAAAUAUGUAGAUGUUCGGUGAAACUUAAUUUCGGACGCGGGUUCAACUCCCGCCACCUCCACAA